UUUACUUCUAUGGUGAGAAACUCAAUGGGAGGAUCCAUUGGGCCAUGGCACUCUGAUAUUGGCAACAACGUGGAAAGAAGAUAUGCGUCAUCCUUACUAGAUGAGUUCAAGAACAAGACCAGGUCUUUUGAACUCUCAGACAUUGUUGAUCAUGUUGUUGAAUUCAGUACGGAUCAGUAUGGGAGUCGCUUCAUUCAGCAGAAACUAGAAACUGCUACGGUGGAAGAAAAGAACAAGAUAUUCCCUGAAAUUAUCCCUCAUUCUCGCACCUUGAUGACAGAUGUGUUUGGAAAUUACGUCAUACAGAAAUUUUUUGAGCAUGGUACAGAAUGUCAAAGAACAGAGUUAGCCAGC
rnacentral:misc_RNA from 1 species